rnacentral:rRNA from 1 species
GUAGCUGGUUUCCUUAAUUUGAGGGAAUAUGUGCACACUGUUGUUUUUUCUUUUGCUUGUUUCUUUAUUUUCUUCUCCACUUGUGCACUGUUUGUAGACAGCUUGGUUACAGGCUGUCUAUGAUUUUACACACACUAUAAAAAGCACUUUGUUGUUAACAGAAUGAAUGAGAUUUUUUUAAAAAAAUAAUAAUACAACUUUCAACAACGGAUCUCUUGGCUCUUGCAUCGAUGAAGAACGCAGCGAAAUGCGAUAAGUAAUGUGAAUUGCAGAAUUCAGUGAAUCAUCGAAUCUUUGAACGCAUCUUGCGCUCCUUGGUAUUCCGAGGAGCAUGCCUGUUUGAGUGUCAUUAAAUCUUUGUCAAAACAUGUUUUUGUGUUUUGGAUUGUGGGAGUGUCUGCUGGCUUUCUCCAUGGCCAGCUCUCCUGAAAGACAAUUUUGAGAGGAUGUGUUUGUACCAUUUCUGUCUUUCUAUUGGUGUGAUAGAUUUGUCUAUGCCAGGAAAGCAGACUGCAAGUGGUAAAUUGAGCACUGCAAUCUUUUUUUUUCUCUGUUAUCUUUUGAGAAAGAUGACUUUGUCUGA